ACCCGCAGGGCAUGGGAUGACGUAAGACAGCAAGAGCUGAAGCUGACGUGUUACAUUUUGCCUUUACGGUAACUGGAACCGGCUCUAUCUAAUUUCAUCGUUUCGUAUGUCCCCGCCGCUCGUCCUCGCUUCUGAAGUGAAAAACAAGCAAGCAGUUUCUUCUCGGACAAUUCGCAGGCGAAACAUUGUGCAAAAGAAGCCAACCGUGGAAAUCAACACGUUCCGUGAAUACCCGUUCUCUUCCCCGACUAUUCGGUGAAAGUAUAAACGUUCAAGGGCCCGACACCGCGCCCAAGUCACGAUGACGCAAUGUUGAUGCAACAUCGAGGAAGAGAGGCUUUCUUCUCCGACACAUCGCUUCUUCCACCUUCCCCCUUAGCACCACACUUUUCAUCAGGCCGCACUUAAACCAGAGUCAACCGACGAAAAAGAGAGACGCAAGCUUUUGUCCCAUUGUGUGCGCUCGCGAGGGAUGCUUGUGAAAAGUGUACCGACGUCGGCGAUGCAUCUGCUUUGCGGCGUCUCGCCGACUCUAUGAGCCGUCAGAAUUUACUUCUUUGUGUUGUCAUCGCCGAGGGGCGCGUGUAGGAUUUUUUUCUAUCUUUCCUUUUUCUCUCUCUCUCUCUAUUUGCCUCCCUCGCCCGACUUCUCACUUCACACGUGCUAAGAAGAGCGGCAGGAAGAACGAGGCCUCCCGUUCCGACUGCAGCGGACUCGUUGCAGCGAUGGUGGUGGCGGCGGCGGGGGUGUUAUCAUGGUAACCGGUGUCCGCUGAUAGCGUAGCGCGCCGUGGCGAAAAUCGAUAUUUCCUUCAUUCCGUAUUCCGCGAGGCAAGGGCAUGCCCUAUCUAUCCCUAUGCGAACGUGUCCCGCAGUUAGGCCACGUUCUUCCCAAUGCGGGACACGACUCGUGUACUUUUAGGCAACGAGAAUGAUGUCGCGCGACUUUCAGACUUUCUGCGAUUGUACACGCGACAGGAAAAUAUCGUCGUUUGCAAGAAUCGCAAUCGUGUUUGACAUACCACCAAGAGUCACUUAUUUCUAUUCUCUCAUUGUUUUCGCUUCCAAGAGUGCUAGAAUCGUGCAUGAGGCUUCAACAAAGCUGACGGAGCUAGGUUGCGUCUCGGGAAUAACGUAAUGGAGCACACGACCUUUCCGAGAGGGAAUAACUGGCCCGUUGGGUCCAUUCUGGAAUGCGGGUGUGCGGCACUUUCUCUCUUAAAUUGCACCAGUGAUAUUAGCGCGCCGUAAUUCAUUGUGAAAGUCAUUAUCUAAUUUCGUCUUGGAGAUAAUCGCGGCGCUGCAACGUUUCACUGAGCGAACAAUAAAACGGCGCGGCGGUGUGCGUCAUUCCGCGCUUGGCGUUCGCCGACAAAGUCGUAAAAACCUUUAACAAAUUUAAACGUCCGGGUUGCUGUUGCGCUGGGUUACCUCUAUUCCCGGAUUCGCGAAUAAUCAAUGAGAAAUCGGGGUCGCCACUUCCCUCCUUCCUUUUCCCGUUGAACGAUGCACCAUCGACCCGCGUAAUGUCUAAUUAAUCGCGCAAAUUGGGCUGAAUUAUCGAGGAAUCUUUUUGUUAUUUCGGGAAAUGUAACGGAUAUUAACUCGUAGGUCGCAAUCGAUUCAGAAGCGCUGAUCGAUCAGCAUCCAUAAAUAUCAGAUACUCUGAACGUUCGGAUGUAAUCUUCUUCUUAAAGACAUCAUCUUUCUGUUCGAUUUUUUUAUUUUAUUAUAUUAUUAUUUCUUUCACACUCGCAUACCCUUAUUUUUUUCACGCUCUCAUACCCAUUCUAUGCUUUCAGAGAGCUAAGAAUUGAGGAAUAAAAGCUUGAAUUUUUCUGCGAGCGAGAUAACUGAAAGAAUUGAUGUCGCAGAUGACGUUACUGUGAACAAUGAAGAAGAAAGUUGUGUUGCGGGCUAGAAAUUAGGGAGCUUCGUCGAGACGGGAAUUUCGGCUGUCACGCCGGGACUUGCCAAAGUGCGCGUUGGCGCGCAUUGGUCCCAAUUAAGUAAGCAAACGUUUGUCAGGGUCAUACAUAAAAGUUGUCUGUGCAGUUAAGGCCAGUAGGUCAGCGGCGCAUCAAACGUAACGCGCGAAAUAUAACGUAUGGCCUUUCGCAUUACACGCGAAGGACAUCCUACUUUAACACGCGCACGACUUUGGCGUCUCGCGAGUCUCGCCUGAUCAGAAUCGAAGCUCUUCUGUGAGCUUGUCGCGAUAAACGCACCUCCGUGAUCUCUUUCUCUCUCUCUUUCUUGCUCCUCCUCUUGCUCGCUUCGCUCCGCACCAGCCUGGCCGAUAUCGCGCGUUGAAUAUCAAUUUCUACGACUACAAUCAGCUUGCCCCCUCUAUGUAAUCACAGCAACAUAUACGGAAUGUGAAUCGCGAUGCAACGGUGCACACAGGAAACGCGGGAUUGAUUCUCGCUCGAUUCGCACGCGCAGGUCGUCAUCAGUCCUGCAAUCCCCGAGUGUCGAUUUAUCAUCCAUUUCAUUAUCCGGCGAUUCAAAGCGGAUAUUGUUGAUAUUCGCCACGUCGUUAUAGAUCAUCCAUAGGUCUUUUUUUUUCUUUUCCAACGAAAGGCUGAGCAUUUGAAGAUCGCGGGUCGUUAAAGAUCAUUCGCACGACUGCUUCUCCAUGCGAGUCAAGGGUCAAGUGACGCAGUUGCGAUGUGCCACAUGACGAUUAACGUUUGAUUCUGCUUCCAGCUCCCGAAUUAUGUCAUUCACGAUGUUAACGCGAGGAUGAGCGUGAAGCACGAUCCAUGGAUUUGCGCUCGCACGAUUCUUAUUGCCGGCAAAAACAGAGACGAGUAAUACAUCCGCAUGUAACGUGGAAUCCACGUUACAUGCGGUUUAUCGCGUGAAGAACGGAACAGGCAUCAUCGAACAUAGGCGCGUUUCUUCAAUAAUGAUACUUGGGACAGCCGGUGGGGCUUGAGGAAAUAGUCCAGUUAAAAAUUCGAUGUGCAAAGUGCGAACUACACCCACCGUGAGUGACGCGGUUGCGUAACUCUCGUCGGGGUCAACGGUAACAUCGACAUUUUAUUUCUGCUUCAGUCGAGAUAAAGAUCGACGCACACGUCUACUUCACGUGUUAAAGAAGAAUUGAAUUGAAAUGCUAAUAAGUGCACUUGACUCAUAUCAAAAGGAAAUAUCUCAAUUAUAAAUGACAAAUAAUGUUCUCGUUUAUUUUUCUCUCGCGCCUAAGUUUGAACAUUGCAAAGCUUGAUUCGAUCGUGCGGAAUUACUCUUUCACUGAAACCGACAACGCUUUGGUGGUGAGUCCAAUAUCCAAUUGCGAGGCCGUUCUUAUGUUUCCGCUGUUUUGCAGGUACGCGAGACGUUUGAAAGAGAUAAUAUAAAAUUACAUGUGUGUACACGUGCGUCCUCGCGGCAUCGCGUUACACGCGAGCGAAACGACGUUUUACAUGCUUAUCGUAAUUCUAACAAUGUGGCAGAUUAGCGAACUGAAUCAACGCGAGUCCAGGACCAGGAUUUAUCAAUUUGCAGCAGCUCGGUGAGACUUCGCGUCGAGGAACGCGAAGCGUACCGACCGCGCGGAGGAUUUCGAGUUCCUAGGGAUUCUGACACGUGUUUACGAUUCCACGAUGUCGCCUUAAACCAGUUGCAAGUUACUUGCGCCGCAGUUAAUUUAUUGACGAGCCGAGACAAGUCCACGGCGGAUGGAAGUGCUUUUACAACCGCGUGCGCGCGUUGGUUUAAGUUAAACGGCGAUAAACCCGCACACGUACCUCGUCAUCUCGUCGCCAGACCGGAAUAAGCCGAGUUAGAGAGUCAAUGUCGUGUCGUCGUAACUUACAGCCUGCCGCGGGCGAUGAGAGUGCCUCGCUGGUGUUGGUGGAGUCCACCUUGGUAACAUCAGCCCAAGUUGGAACUACAAUUAAUCCAUUCCUGUGAUUUCCCAGCGCGAGGCAGUUGCAAUGACAACGACGACGACGAUAAUGAUGAUGAUGACGAGAAUGAGGGUCGCCGUUCAUCGAAGGUGAACUCGAUGCGGGAAACAAGUUGUCCGACCGAUUACGGAGUGAGAACCGGGAAAAGAGAAAGAAAAAAAAGAAGACGGACGGAUUUAACGCCGGAAUUCGCAGUUAACGGGACUUCUUGUACGCCGCGUGUAGCAUGAAACGAGAUUACACCUGUCGGAUUAGCGCGCACGGAAAACCGGUGCGACGACGCAUCAUCAUCGUCGGGGCUGACGCGCGUGUCACGGGAAUGUUGUGACCGCGGAAAGGGAAAAUCAUUCGCGUCAUGUGCUCGUGUUCUUGCGUCUUGAGUCGCCGUCAAAAAUUAUUUACCCGCGAGUUCGUGUGACUGGUCAUGUUGUUGAGGCACACGCUAGCUACGACGGCUGGUUGAGAACGGCGAGCUUGAAUAGCUUGAAAGUACUGUGUAUCUUGCGGCGUUUUUUUCGCCUCGCCGCUCUGGCGUGUUGCUUAUGCAGAUUCCAUUUUGCCGUAAUUAUACAGUCGCUCGACGGGAGCCAGCAUUUGACAUUUGCCAGGUUUUUUUCAAUCGAAUCAAACGGUCACCGCUUCGUAACUCAUUCACUCGAACAGCGUCCUCGGAAUUCAUAAUGCGCCUCCCCUUUAUACUUGUGGACAGAAAACGCGAAACUCUCGUGUGCUUAUACAUUCUUCCAGGUCACGGACACCCUCUGCCCGUUUUCCUCUGAUUUCACUCCUCGACGAAUACGAAUGUUCGCGUUAUGGGAUUUUUUUAUACGAGCUGAUUUCUCACGAAUUAAAAUGUUCACAGUGUUGCGUGAUCCGCGAUUCGCAUGACGAGCAAAAAACUAUAUGACUCUGAGGAAAAGUAUAUAGAAGAAGCCAGACCCAUGGAUGAUCGUGCGACAGAUAGGUUGGCUUUUCAAUGGAUUAUCGCGUCAAAUCUUGCCGGCAAUUGGAGCGAUGCCAUCGCGACAAUAACGCGACCGACAAUGACUGUUUCCGCAGAACCACGUGAAUAACGUGAGCGGAAACGUUUUGUCAUUGCACAUUUGACUGACCGACGUGCGAAUUCAGCUACAUUUGCGAGCGAAUUUGAUGAUAGCUGCACGACUGCACGCGAAAAUCUCGCCUCGGUCACUAGAUCAGAUUAAUUAUGCAAAUCAUGAAGAAAGAUCAUCAGCGAAACAAGUUAUUUGAUCAUCCAGAUUAGCUAAGUAAUGAAAAUCUGUUCAAAUUAAUUUUCUAUCGAUUAUUAAAUCGAUUUGGCUAUUUAUAUAAAUUUUCUCGAAUUUGUUUAGCAGUAAUCAACUGGGAUUGCAGUCGUUUCGAAGAAUUAAUACACGUCACGCUACUUUCCUUAUCGACCUUAAUGCUUUUUUUCCCUGCGAUCACUUAACGUUAUUAUUAGCGUCGAAGCGGCAUUCCAAUUAUAUUGACCCCAUGUUGUCGUUGCAGUCCUCUCCCCGGUAAAUCAUCAUUAAUCCUUUAUCUAUUAUGAUAUCGUGCACAUUACUAUGGUAUCGUCAACAACAUUGCGGCUGAUCACGCAUGUUCCCAUUGCGAAAUUCCUCUCACGAAGCCCGAUGUCGCUUUUUCCUUCCAAUACACCGUCAACUGUGCCAUUUUAUACGCGCUAUUAGAUUAAUCGAGAGACAGGCAACGAACGGCCAACUGGCGUGACAUCAGACUCUUCGGCUUCUCCAAAUUUAGAAUCCAACAUAGAAAAACCGGUUUAUUCUCUAAAACGAAUUCUUAAGGAAGAUCACUCGAUGGGGAAAAUAAACGGGUUGCUUUUGUUCCGGCUUCGCUCUUGUGCUAUCGGCGCAAGCUUCUUUCAUUGCUCUCCGAGGUCUUGUUUCCCUUACGAAUUUUGCUGGUAAAUAUUUUAGUUGGUCCUUUAUCGACCUCCUUCUGAAGAGAAGAGUACCGCUGAGCGGAAGCCUCUCCAAGCAGGAAACUGAUUUUUCCUGGGCGUUUUUCGAGACGAGUGGUUUCUCUGUCCUUUUUCUAAAUGAUGUAUUAUAAAACAAGUGUAUUAUCAACGUUAGCGGAUAUGCCACGGAACCGUUACGGUUACUUGAAGCUGAUAUGCGGAGCGCAUGAAGCGAGCCGGGUUUGAGCACGAGGUCUCUCGGAGACGUAAAAGUAUCCGACGAAACCGCUUCGGAUUACCGGACCACCUCGGUUCACGAACCUCACCCGUGGCCGUUAUAUCGAUUACGUGAUUGAGCGGUCAGUUGCGCAAUGCGUUUCUGUGUAAACACACCGGUUCGUACACACACGUUUACUUUCGACUUCCGCUGCCGUCAUCGCGAUUUAAAUGAUCGUGAAUUUCUGUUUUCAGGGUCUCCAGGGUCAUUUCAAUUAUCAGUUUCGAUAGGCACGUUCACUUAGAACUCUUUCAAGGGAAAGCCGUCAACGUUUCCUUCGGCUCACUCGUGCUUCUGUUCAUUUCUCGUUGUUUCUCAUUUUUCUUUCUCAACGACUGCAAAAAGUUAAAUCAGCAAUGCGUCACGUUUUUGUUGGGACGUUUACAUCGUUAUUAUGGAAGAACCUAUUAGGUUUGUCGAUUUUCCAGCGCGUUAGAACUCACAAGUUUACCUGCUGCGUUCUCAUCGCGCCGGACCAACCGAAGCGAAAACACGAAGCAGGAGUAAAACUGAGAGGUCCAGUUAGACUCGGGAGGACUCCUGUGUUAAAGAUACGCUCGGUAUAGUAAGCGGAAACGUAAUCACAAAGCCCGAGGGGCGGUCAAGCUUCUCUCGUUGCAUUAUAUGUGCUGCGAGCGGAGUUAGCGUUAGGUAGCGCGCAACUAUGCGUGCUUCAUACCUGUUUUUUGUUCGCGGCACGAUCGUAAUGUAAUUAGACAGGAAAAGUAUGCCUUGUUGCGUGUAAUCGCCGGAAAAUCGCGCGCAUUUUUUGCAUCGGUCGCAUUGCCGACCUCCCGGCAGAAAAAUGGGAAAACCGGAGAAAGAGAGCGGUAUUUAACCCACUGUGAUCCCGCGUCGAGAGAGAUGGACUCGGCAUUCUGCGCAUACCUCACUAGAGCGUGACUAGAACCUAAAAAUAGCGUUGCAAAAAUGAAAACUACGUAUAAUACAAGUCGAAAUCGAUGAAGACUUAAUAACCCA
rnacentral:lncRNA from 1 species